rnacentral:lncRNA from 1 species
GUGGGCCGGGUUUGGACCGGUGGGUCUGCGGUCCACGUCGACCAUUUUAUUCGUGAAAAUCAAAGACAGUACCGAAAAUUUACAAAAACUCUCACACACCUGAAGUAAACCGCUUGACUUUGUGUUUUGUGUUUGGUUUCGUUUGGGAGGAUUUUAUAGAUACAAUACAAGAAGAUGGAGUAUGAGAAGGAGGUUGGAGACGGUGAGAGUGGUGAGUGUGUGUGCUUUUCG